rnacentral:rRNA from 1 species
CCUACGGGAGGCAGCAGUGGGGAAUAUUGCACAAUGGGGGAAACCCUGAUGCAGCAACGCCGCGUGAGUGAGGAAGUAUUUCGGUUUGUACAGCUCUAUCAGCAGGGAAUAGAAAAGAAGGUACCUGAAAAAAAACCCCCGGCUAACCACGUCCCAGCACCCGCGGUAAUACGUAGGUGGCAAGCUUUAUCCGGAUUUCCUGGGUUUAAAGGGCGCGUAGACGGAAAGGCAAGUCAGAAGUGAAAGCCUAAGGCUUAACCAUGGAACUGCUUUUGAAACUGUUAAACUAGAGUAUGGGAGAGGUAAGAGGAAUUCUUAGUGUAGCGGUGAAAUGCGUAGAUAUCAGGAGGAACACGAGUGGCGAAGGCGACUUACUGGACCGAAACUGACGUUGAGGCUCGAAAGCGUGGGGAGCAAACAGGAUUAGAUACCCGAGUAGUC